UAAGCCAGGGUGCCCAAAUCCAACCUCUUUCAGCACCCUAUCAAAACAAGCAGAAGCUGCAGAUCUUUUAUACAAGGCAAAUAUGAAUACUGGAAGUGUGCUUGAAUAUGCCCUCGCCUUUACAAGUGCAUUAUUGGAUAAGUAUUGCAGUAAAUGGAAUGAUAUUCCCAAAACAAGAUUUGUUGACAGUACAACUUCAUCUACACAAUCACCCAGGAAUCCUCACUUUUCCCAGAUGUGACAAGCGAAAUAGAAAAUGAUACUUAAUUUUGAAGGCUUUGUGUUGGGCAGCUGUAGAAUAUUUUGUGCUGAAAGUAGUAACAUUUCAAUAUGUUGAAUAUUUAAGACUACUUGAAUACUUAAAGAACAUUUUGUUGUUGAUGAUAGUGUUGAAUGUUUUAAACUAAUUUGUGGAUUGUUAAUACAAUGUUGAAUGUUUUUACUUUUUGUUAUUUGAAAAUCAAGUUCAUUUGA